rnacentral:rRNA from 1 species
UACAGAGGGUGCGAGCGUUGUCCGGAAUCACUGGGCGUAAAGGGCGCGUAGGUGGCGCCCCAAGUCAGUGGUGAAAGCUCGCCGCUUAACGGCGAGUCGGCCACUGAGACUGGGGGGCUCGAGCACUGUAGAGGCAGAUGGAAUUCCGGGUGUAGCGGUGGAAUGCGUAGAGAUCCGGAAGAACACCGGUGGCGAAGGCGGUCUGCUGGGCAGUAGCUGACACUGAGGCGCGACAGCGUGGGGAGCAAACAGG